UGACAACAGUCUGUGACAACUACAGUAUUAUUUAUGUACUUUCUUUCAGCCUUUGGAAAUUAUGAUAGUUUUCAUUUUUCUUCAUAAAAAUAUUUACUUUCAUAUCAGUAAUAAAUAAUGUUAUUGGAAAUAGUAAUACAAGUUUUAAACAUUAAAUGAGUAAGUUAAUUUUGAAGUUAUUGCUUAGAAAUUAAACGCGAUUCUUCGCCCUAAGUGGUAUCCAUAAGUAAAAGGCAAUAUGUGAAUUGAAAUUAACAGUAUCCGUUUGCUCCCAUUUCAUAGCGUUUAUCAAAUAGCAUGUUUUUUUGCAAAAAGUACCGUGAAAUUUCCAUUAGAUCCGUUAAAGAUUUUACAACACGAACGGACGUUUCUCGACUAUUACGAAAGUUCCGUCAGUUUAUGUGCAGUUAGUAGUGUGGAACAAUUUAAAAAAGUAUUUCAGGAAGUAACAAUAAAACUUUCUAUUGUAACCUUCCCUAUUUUUUGUUUUCACUUUUUAGCGAAGAAAUGGCGUCUAGCACUGAUGGCAGUGGCAGUAGUGGUGCACUAUCUCGAAAUUAUUCGAUAAAUUCAAGUUCUUCUCGUGAUUAUGAAAACCUAAAGCAACAAUACGAUAAAGCAAAUAAUGAAUUGGCAAACUUAAGAAGGAGAUGCGAUCAUGCAAUGAAAGAACUGGACUACUAUAGAAGCCAACACAGAGCAGCCAUGAACCAACUAGAAGUAUCCUCUCAAGACUCUGCAACUUUACGCACAAAGUAUGGAGAUGUGCUGAGUGAAAAUCAAAGAUUGGAACAAGAUGUUCAGUCAUUGAGGACUGAAUUGUCAGAAUUACACAGACAGCAAGAGGUGUUGGUGUCAGAAAAUGGUAAUACAGAAUCCCUGUAUAUGCUCUCCAGAAGAAACGACAGUGUUGUGAGAGAUGAUUGUGAUACUCUUAGGAAAAGGUAUGAUGAGCUUCUGGCAUCACACAGUCAAGCAAUUACAAAAUUAGAAUUGGCACAAGAUGAAACUAAUAGACUUAAUAAGCAGUGUGAUGAACUUAAUCAAGAAAGAAACAAUGUUAUGAGAGACAUUGUUAAUUUACGCCAGCAGAUAGCAGUGGCUCAUCAAAAAUAUGACAAAGCUGCAAGAGAUUGUAUCAAAUUUAGAGAAGCAUUCCAGAAAGUUCAGCAGCAGUAUGAAGAAGCUGUUAAAGAGGUCAAUCAAGCUAUGGCGUUCCGUAUGAAAGCUAGUAAAGAAGUCAAAAGACUCACAGAUGAACGAAAUGCAGCUAUGACUGAAUAUAAUCUCAUAAUGAGUGAAAGAGAUACAGUCCAUAAAGAGAUGGAGAAAUUAAGUGACGAUCUGACACAGGCCUGUAAAAAAAAUAAACUAUUAGAGGCAGAUAACAAAGAACUUAUGGAAGAGAAAAAACAGUUAAACUAUCAAAUGGAAACUUUGAGACGAGAAAUUGCCAGUGCUUUGCAUGACCGUGAUAAGGCUCUAAAAGAAUGUAACGAUUUAAGGGAGAAAUUUGGAGAAUAUAGUGCUUCCAAGGAGGAUAGCCGGGACAUGAUGAAGAGUAGGUUAGAUAAUCUUAGCUUCCUAGGUGAUAAUGCAGCUAGAAAAGAAGUCCAAGUCGAUUCUCGUAGCCUAAGUCAGAGACAAAGGUUAGACAACUUAGAUCAGGCAAAUCAGGAACUUGAGAGUUUAAGAAAAAGUUUGGACAAGGCUCAGACAGAACUGUCUGAGGCCAUUCAGGAAGCUGAGGUAUCAAAAGGUCGACGUGAUUGGGCAUUUUCUGAAAGAGACAAGAUAGUUUUAGAACGAGAAAGUAUUCGCACAUUGUGUGAUAACAUGCGUAAGGAAAGAGACAGAGCUGUAUCUGAACUUGCAGAAGCUCUUAGGGAGUCUGAUGCUAUUAAAAAACAAAGAAAUGAACUGAUGAAAGAAGUUAAAAUGUUGAAAGAAGCCCUGGAAAUACACAUGGAGAAAGAGGCACAGUUUAAUCAAUUUCGUGGUAUGGGACAUAAUCAUUCCCAUGACAGCGCUAUUGACAGUGAUAUGCAGGAAUGGGAAACAGAGAUAUUGGAAAUGGACUUGUCUGGACUUCCCAGUGAUGGUGACCUAGGAUUCGAGUUGGUUGGCGGUCGAGAUGACCCUCAUUAUCCCAAUGACAGUGGUAUUUAUGUGGCCUCAGUCUCAAAAGGUUCCAUGGCCGAUGGAAAGUUGAGAGUAAACGAUUGCAUUUCUCGAGUGAACAAUCUUGAUUGCACCUCGGUAUCGAAAAGGAUGGUGAUUGAAACGUUGCGCUCAAGUUUACCCGUGGCGCAUUUGGUUGUACGCAGGCGCCGAUCUCAAACAUGGUCGUCUUCACAAAAUUCCCGAGGAUCUCAGAACGUUGUCCGUAUACCCCCUAGUUUUCAGAAUAACUCGCGAGUUGCUCGUUGGAUCUAUACUGCAAGACUAGCCGCUGGUUGUCACGGUCUAUCCCUAGAAUCGGGGGUGUACAUUGGGAAGAUAAGCGAGGGCAGUUUGGCAGCCAAAGAUAAUAGUCUUGUUGUUGGUGAUAGGGUUUUGAGCAUAAAUAACAAAUCUAUGGACGGUUUCGAGAGCAUCCACGAGGCUAUGUCAAUUUUGAACGAUGACCGCACAGAUAUAAUUACGAUUACGACUCUGAAGACGAGUUAUUUGGACCCUGAAUGUACCACAAACGUGUUUAUGCCUGCUCAACGCUACAAAAAAGAAAACAGGAGCUCUCAAACAGACGACCAUGAUUUGGUUCGCCACGAUUACGAUCGACAAUAUUUGAGUGGUGAUUAUCGACUGAAUAACAAAAGUAAUGUCCAGGAGAAGAACAGUGGGGCGUGGUUCAGAGAAAAAUUGGACAUGGUUCGUGGAAGAAGACAUUCAAAGGAUAGAAACAGGAACGAUGACAAAAAGAAGUAUCGAAAUAGUUCACCGAAUACACUCGAUUUAAGUAGCAACACUUUUGAGCAAGAACAGGCAAUAGCUGAGUUAGAUUUGGUAAUAGAUAGUUAUCAUGGCGAGAAUACAAAUACCAUGAAACGAAAUAAAAGAAGAGGUAAGGAGAUGUCGGUGCAAGAGAAAAAUGGCGGUACAUGGCCUAAAGCGCGGGCUACUAACGUACUUCAAAACACCACUGGCACUAUAGUGGCUCGUAAAAAAGAACGGCCACCCCUGAGUCUCCUACUAACUGACCGAUCAGAACAGCAGAAUAAUUACUGUUGUAAAAACGAAAGGACUUCAAAUCGUAAUUCAACUCCUAUACCGCUUAGCCUAGCCCAGAACUUAAACAGACAUAGCGUUUUUAAAAGUGUAGAUAAUAGUAUGGUACCCUUCCCGAAGGCUACGUUUAGCACUGUUAAUGACUCAUUUGAGAAGCUCAGGUCAAAUAAAAUGUCCGAUUUCGACGCGUCACGUGAAGUCAAUAAUAGACUGAGUAUUAAUUCGGACAACAGUCUCGAUUUUCCCGUUAAUAAACCGAUGUUGAUCAGCGAAAAGGACUUUCUCAACUAUUACAAAAAGAAUAAAACAGGUCCAAUAAAAUACACUGCAGAUUCUGAUCGUGAUAACUCAAUAACUCACGACAUAUCAGUUACCGGUGUCCCGAAUCCUCAUACUCGAAUUCAUUCGCAAUUGUUUGUUCCAAAUCCUCGCAUCGCAUUCCCCUUUCAUCCCCACCCACAUCCACAUCUCAACUCAUCGCCUCUGACUCUCCCCACAUGUCACUCACGUGAAAGUGUUGGUUUCGAACCCCCUUAUCCUUCAUUCACCCACACCCACAGCCCUUCUGUAGACCAUUAUCAAAAAAAGCAAAUGCUAAAUGUCAAUGGUUUACCUAGCCACGCCCAUGUUCCUUAUAGGGAUUCAGAUAUGAUCAACUACGGUCAAGGAUUUGAAGGGGGUACAUUUCCACGUAAAAAAGAAAAUCAACGUUUUCGAAUACCGUCCAAUCCUAGUGUCACGUCUAAAAAUUCAGCUGGAAAAGUGAGCACGGGGAGUAUUGAACGGACUAGCGAGAGGGGAAGUCCUAUGCCGAUUUUUCAAGUAGAAGUUUUAAGUCCGGGAAAUAGAGAUAAGCGAAAUAGUGUUCCUGAUUAUUGUUGGCCUCAGAAACCUCUGCCAGGGGAACUUAGAAGAGUACAUAUUGACAAAUCUAAUGAACCCUUGGGGAUACAGAUAAAUUGCCCAGAAAGUGGUGGGAUUUUCGUAUCAACAGUGAACGACAACAGUUUAGCUAGUAGAGUAGGAUUGCAGAUUGGCGAUCAAUUACUGGAAGUCUGUGGGAUCAACAUGAGAAACGCCACGUAUAAUUUGGCUGCAAACGUUCUGAGACAGUGUGGAAAUUCUAUUACCAUGUUGGUUCAAUAUAGUCCCGACAAAUAUAACGAACUGCAAGAUUCUGGUUCUUGUUCGGGCUCGUCUUCUAACGAUGAAGGUGACGGUGAACCUACACCUUGUAAUUCCCCUAAAGGGGUGAGAAAGUCCCAUUCCAAUGCCAUGAGCUUACCGUUAACAUCAUUGGGAAAUCAGACAAUCAUCAAUCGCACAUCACAGGCCACAUCUACAAUCCAAAGACAAAGCAGUAAUAAUAGGAAUGAAGAAGAACCUCGUUACCUGUACAUCGAAACGUUGAAGACUUCAAACUUAGGUAUAUCAUUAGUUGGUGGCAAUGCUGUUGGUAUAUUUAUCCACUCGGUUCAGCCUGACUCUCUUGCUUAUCAUGCGGGGCUUAGAACCGGAGAUCAAAUCUUAGAAUAUAACGGAAGUGACUUAAGACAUGCCACUGCUGAGGAGGCCGCUUAUGAACUUGCCAAGACUGCAGAUAAAGUUACUGUCUUAGCUCACUAUAGAGUAGAUCGUUACAACGAAAUUAAAGAUAAGCCUGGCGACAGUCUCUACAUCCGUUGUCUUUUUGAUAGAAGUGGCAGCGAGUUAUCUGAUAAUUUGCAGCUCUGUUUCAAUAAGGAUGACAUUCUUUAUGUGGACAAUACAAUGUUCAAUGGGGUCCCAGGUCAUUGGAGGGCAUGGAAACUCGAUUCUGAAGGACAGAAGCAACAAUGUGGUAUCAUCCCAAAUAAAUACAAGGUCGAAGAAGAGUUGCUGCUCAAAAGAAGUACUGGUGAUCUUGAGGGUAGGGGUUCUACAUCAGCAAGAAGAAGCUUCUUUCGUCGCAAAAAGCAUCAAAGGAGUGGUUCAAGAGAUUCCAAAGAACUGGCCAGUUUUUGUAAUGUGUCUUCUGGGUGGUACUCAGACAAUGGAACUUUACAUGAAGAUCUUUCUCUGUGUUCUUAUCAAAGAGUAGAAAGACUUGAUUAUCCAGAAUUUCGUCCAGUUUUAGUUUUAGGCCCUUUAGCUGAGUGCAUUGUUGAUAAAUUGGUGAACGAUUUUCCCGACAAGUUUCAGAAAGUGCAGCACGAAGCCAGACACUGUUCCCAAGCCACUCUAGACCAGGAACUUGCAGACAGUCUUAUCGUUGAUUACAGGCGAAAGGGCAAUUACUACGAAUGUACUACAGCUGCCUCAAUACGAUCAGUUUGUAGUUCAAGGUUACAUUGCAUGUUGGACAUUUCGGUUUCUUCAGUUGAAAAGCUUCACAGGCACCAGAUUUAUCCUAUUGUGCUCCUUAUCAAGUUCAAAAGUACCAAGCAAAUAAAAGAAGUAAAGGAUACGCGGUUCCCAUUAGAUAAGUUGUCUGGGAAGGCAGCUAAAGAAAUGUACGAGCAUGGUUUGAAAUUAGAAGCUGAAUAUAGACACCAAAUAACAGCUGUCAUUCCUGCUGGAGUAAAUAUAGCCUACAUUUGUACACAAGUUAAGGCAGCAAUCGAUGCUGAACACAAUAAAAGUCAGUGGAUUCCAGUUCAGUAAUAUUUGAAAAAUACUUCAAUGUUCAACGUAAUUCAUGGUAUUGACUGGGUGCCGUUUUUCGUAUUGAAAGAAUUUGUACUUCUAGAUAGGAGAUUAAAAGAAAUAAGGGAAAGUCUAAUUUGAAGUAUGUAAGUUAUUAAUUAGCUUAUAAGAUCUAAUAUGAAAUGAUUUGUGUUAAAUGUACAUUUAAAAACAAAGUAAGAAGAAAAUGUCUAAUGUGUAUAUUUGAGAGUCAACUAUGUAUAUGAAGACAUUUUGUUAUACUGUUUACCAACUCUGUUAUAUGUAUAGGAUAAUUUUUAUGUUGACUAAUUGAUUAUUAUUAGUUUUUUAUUUUUAAUAAUGUACUCUGUGAUUGUUCGUUAUUUUUAUCUUUUACUAUGGCUUUGAUUUUCUUCGAUGAAAUAAACGAGGUUUAAAUGGAA